rnacentral:rRNA from 1 species
CAGUCGCCACGGUAAUACGUAGGGUGCAAGCGUUAAUCGGAAUUACUGGGCGUAAAGCGUGCGCAGGCGGCUUUGCAAGACAGAUGUGAAAUCCCCGGGCUUAACCUGGGAACUGCAUUUGUGACUGCAUGGCUAGAGUGCGGCAGAGGGGGAUGGAAUUCCGCGUGUAGCAGUGAAAUGCGUAGAUAUGCGGAGGAACACCGAUGGCGAAGGCAAUCCCCUGGGCCUGCACUGACGCUCAUGCACGAAAGCGUGGGGAGCAAACAGGAUUAGAUACCCCUGUAGUCCCUGUCUCUUAUAC